rnacentral:rRNA from 1 species
UGUGUAGGCGGUCUUUUAAGUUUGGUGUGAAAUCUCCCGGCUCAACCGGGAGGGUGCGCCGAAAACUGGGAGACUCGAGUGCGGGAUGGGAGAGUAGAAUUCCUGGUGUAGCGGUGAAAUGCGUAGAUAUCAGGAGGAAUACCGGUGGUGCAGACGGCUCUCUGGACCGCCACUGACGCUGAGACACGAAAGCGUGGGUAGCAAACA